CUGCCCCUGGGGAGGCCUCAGAUCUGGGCACACCCUCCCUAAAAUGCUGGGAGGAAGACAUGCCUGUUCCCACCCCACGGUGCUGUCAUGAGCAAGGGCACUGCAUGGCCCUUUAGGGCAGGGGCGAGGGCCGGGGCCAAGUUGGGAGCAGCUCACCAGGAACCAGGAACCAGGGGCCUGGGCCCAGAGCCCAGAACUGGGGGGUUGCUUUAGCAGCCCACCCCACCCCCCAUCAGGGCUUUACCAAUGUCCUGUGGAUAAUUGUUGGGCACCGGUGGCCGCCACUGGUAUUCUGGCCACCCCAGCACCUCGCCGUUGCGCUGAUUCUGCUCCUGCAGCCACUGGCUGACUGGCUGGAAGUAGUUGAGCAGCGGCUGAGCGUCCAGGGUAUCUGAGCCAAUUGCCUCCUUUAGCACUUCCUGCCAGGGCCGUGAGGAGCCUGACCGCAGUGCCUCCCUGUCAGGCAGAGUGGACACUGUGGGCACAGGGGGCACAGGCCAGCGUCCAGUACUGGUCCCUGGCCCACCUCUGUCCCCCCCGGCCUGCAAGAACAGCAACAUUAAGACUCUGGGGACCAGGAGCUCUGGAAAGGGGGCAGGGACAUUGUCUUGUCCAGUGUGAGCCAGAAGGCCCACAGUAAAUACUUGUGAGGAAGGAGAGGGCAGGAGGGAAGAAAGGCUCCCUCGGCCAUCAGGGCCCUGUGACUUUCCCAUGAGCAGCCAGUUGCCUUUUAGACACAUCUUCCUCCCCCUUCUCCCCUCACCUCUCCCUUGCCCUUUUGAUCCCCGCCCCCACACACACCGGAGCUUGGCCCCCGCCUGGGUGGACUGGUAGAUGUCACACUUGUGCAGUGGGCCCUGGUGGCCUGCCUCCUUGCACAGGGCUUGAUGGAACUGGAACUGCAGCACAAAACUCACAAAGUACCUGCAGCAGGCCAAUUUUGUACAGAUGUGCAGGAGUGGAGACGGAGAGCGCCAGCACAUCCCCGAUGGCCUCGUGGAAGCCAGGGUUGGCCCCUUGGCGUAGGGAGACAGACCUGAAGUCUUUCCUGUUGUAGAAGUCCCAGGCAGAGGCGUGGCACACCACCUGACGCCCGUCGGUUGGCUUCUCCAGCAUGGACCUUGUCCAAAACUCAGGAGGCAUGGGCAAGAGCCCCAGGGAGGUGAAGAAUUCCUCUGCCACUCGGAACAUGUGGGAGGCUCACAGCCCCCUGCAAGAAUAACGGGAAGGAAGAGCCGGACCUCACUGAUUGGGAAUUUGUGAUAAUACCGACACUGCCACCUUGAUCCGAGAGGAGGUCACUGUGAUUAGGCCAAUGCAAGGAGCUGUGAACGCCUGACCCUGCGAAGGAAAUGCAGUCUGCCUCGGAGAUCACUCAGUCAGUGUCUCCACCUCUCUUCUAGGGGAGGAGAAAUCACCAGUUAUCACAAUUUGACGGGGAAAAAAAAUCCCUUAGAAAAUAUGCUCCAAAAUGGAAUAAAAUUGAGAGUCGAAAUAAACCCUUACAUUUACA